UCUUGACCGGUAUACAGUUGCCUCAAGGACUCAGGAGAGAGGAAACAGCCUUUUGUCUUGAACCUCUGCAUCUGAGCUUCAGCUGAUCAACAAUGCCGCAUCUUUUUUCUGAUAUUCCAGACAAAAUGCGUGUGAUACUGUCACAGGCUGCGAAUGUAUUUCUAGUUUUUAUUAUGAUUUACAUUUUUCAGUACAUCUUUAAUUCUCAGUUUUCGUGCUCCUGCACACCCGAGUUUCAUUAUAUUGUGGUAAUUUACCUUGCGCUCAUUCCUCUGAUAUUGUUCUUUAUUUUAAAAAUAAUGAAACAAACCAAAACAAAAGAUUGUGCAGCCUGUUGCCACGGUUUUUGUCCUCAAAUCUUCCAGCUUUUUGGAAUUGCUCUAUUCUGGGGGGGAUUUGUUCUUUUAGAUGGAGACUUUUUUCUCUGUUUGGUAACCAAAAAUAAUGACACACUGCUUGAAAUUCCAUGCAAGAAGGACUCAGAUCUCACUCUUCAAGAAAAGAGCACGAUUACAAUCUACAAAAACAAGUCACAGAUUUACGGUUACGUCUGCAUAGCUGUUGGUUUCUGUGGAUGGUGGCUGACAUCAAACACCAAGAUUGGGAUAUGUUGUGACAGUUUUUCUUUUCGGUGUUUAAAUGCCAAAUGCUGUGGUGAGAUCUGUAAUCACCCCAGCUAUGAAUGUCUGAAGAAGUGCUGUUCCAAGAUCUGCAAAGGAAAACCAUACUUCAAGACGCGCUAUGAGGAGCUCCUGUCUGAGGAAACAGAUAAACAUUUGGAUGAAAAAUUGCGACAAAUAGCCAAACAGAGAGCAGAAAGAAUAUGCUCAAGUCACAUUUGUGAUAUUGAAACUAGUGAGUUUAGAUCUAAUAUAACCAAACAAAUAACUGAAAAGGCUACGGAAGCUUGGUCUAAUAUAUCUCGCUCAAAUUUUUAUGCAGAAAAGCUUCCUAAAGAUAUGAACCAUGAGUACAUGUCCAAUGAUUUGUUGUAUUUCAUUUGA
ensembl:lncRNA